AUUGAACGCUGGCGGCAUGCCUUACACAUGCAAGUCGAACGGUAACAGGUCUUCGGAUGCUGACGAGUGGCGAACGGGUGAGUAAUACAUCGGAACGUGCCUAGUAGUGGGGGAUAACUACUCGAAAGAGUGGCUAAUACCGCAUGAGAUCUACGGAUGAAAGCAGGGGAUCGCAAGACCUUGUGCUACUAGAGCGGCCGAUGGCAGAUUAGGUAGUUGGCGGGAUAAAAGCUUACCAAGCCGACGAUCUGUAGCUGGUCUGAGAGGACGAUCAGCCACACUGGGACUGAGACACGGACCAGACUCCGACGGGAGGCAGCAGUGGGGAAUUUUGGACAAUGGGCGAAGGCCUGAUCCAGCAAUGCCGCGUGCAGGAUGAAGGCCUUCGGGUUGUAAACUGCUUUUGUACGGAACGAAAAGCCCCGGGUUAAUACCCUGGGGUCAUGACGGUACCGUAAGAAUAAGCACCGGCUAACUACGUGCCAGCCGCCGCGGUAA
rnacentral:rRNA from 1 species